rnacentral:rRNA from 1 species
AACGAACGCUGGCGGCAGGCCUAACACAUGCAAGUCGAACGCUCGUAGCAAUACGGGAGUGGCAGACGGGUGAGUAACACGUGGGAACCUUCCCUAUGGUUCGGAAUAGCUCAGGGAAACUUGGGGUAAUACCGGAUAAGCCCUUCGGGGAAGGAUUAUCGCCAUUGGAUGGGCCCGCGUCGGAUUAGCUAGUUGGUGAGGUAACGGCUCACCAAGGCAACGAUCCGUAGCUGGUCUGAGAGGAUGAUCAGCCACACUGGGACUGAGACACGGCCCAGACUCCUACGGGAGGCAGCAGUGGGGAAUCUUGCGCAAUGGGCGAAAGCCUGACGCAGCCAUGCCGCGUGAAUGAUGAAGGUCUUAGGAUUGUAAAAUUCUUUCACCGGGGAUGAUAAUGACAGUACCCGGAGAAGAAGCCCCCGGCUAACUUCGUGCCAGCAGCCGCCGUAAC